rnacentral:rRNA from 1 species
AGACGGAGGAUCCAAGCGUUAUUCGGAAUGACUGGGCGUAAAGAGUUGCGUAGGUGGCACUGUAUUGCGUGUGAUGAAAUCUUGAGGCUCAACCUUAAGGCUAUUACGCGAACAGCAGAGCUAGAGCAUAUGAGGGGUACCUGGAAUUCCUAGUGUAGGAGUGAAAUCCGUAGAUAUUAGGAGGAACACCAAUGGCGUAGGCAGGGUACUGGCAUAUUGCUGACACUAAGGCACGAAAGCGUGGGGAGC